rfam:Stegodyphus mimosarum contig73222, whole genome shotgun sequence.
GCCUUCGUGGUGUAAUGGUCAGCACACUGAGCCUUUAAUUCAGAGGUGCGUGGUUCGAUUCCCGGCGAAGGAA